UCACAGUUUGCACUGGCAGUCUUGUUAGAGUUCCCGACAUGACUCGCUGGCAACUAACAACAGGGGUUGCGCUCGUUAUAGGACUUAACCUGACACCUCACGGCACGAGCUGACGACAACCAUGCAGCACCUUGUAAUCUGCCCGAAGGAAAAGCUGUUUCCAGCCCUGUCAGACUACAUUUAAGCCCUGGUAAGGUUCCUCGCGUAUCAUCGAAUUAAACCACAUGCUCCACCGCUUGUGCGGGCCCCCGUCAAUUCCUUUGAGUUUCAUUCUUGCGAACGUACUCCCCAGGUGGGAUACUUAUCACUUUCGCUUAGCCACUGAACCGAAGUCCAACAGCUAGUAUCCAUCGUUUACGGCGUGGACUAC
rnacentral:misc_RNA from 1 species